rnacentral:rRNA from 1 species
CCUACGGGAGGCAGCAGUGGGGAAUAUUGCACAAUGGGGGAAACCCUGAUGCAGCGACGCCGCGUGAGUGAAGAAGUAUUUCGGUACGUAAAGCUCUAUCAGCAGGGAAGAAAAUGACGGUACCUGACUAAGAAGCCCCGGCUAACUACGUGCCAGCAGCCGCGGUAAUACGUAGGGGGCAAGCGUUAUCCGGAAUUACUGGGUGUAAAGGGAGCGUAGACGGCAGCGCAAGUCUGGAGUGAAAUGCCGGGGCGCAACCCCGGAACUGCUCUGGAAACUGUGAAGCUGGAGUGCAGGAGAGGUAAGCGGAAUUCCUGGUGUAGCGGUGAAAUGCGUAGAUAUCAGGAGGAACACCGGUGGCGAAGGCGGCUUACUGGACUGUAACUGACGUUGAGGCUCGAAAGUGUGGGGAGCAAACAGGAUUAGAUACCCGAGUAGUC